rnacentral:lncRNA from 1 species
UUAAGGUUGCAGAUAGGCACUGGAGCACAGAGUGACAGGGAAACAAACUCAUAAGACAGAGAGGCAUAGGAGCAGAUUUAUUAGGCAAAUGAGCUUGUGAUCCAUAGCAGCAGCAAAGAGGUACCUGCCAGUUGCCAUUCCCAUGCUCGAGAUGAUUUUGUUAGGUUGGUAAAAAAUCGAAUUGUACGGCCAUUAUUCUUGUUUUCCUUCUUUUAUCCAAAGCUAUAGUAUAGCAAAUUUGGUUAUAUAACUGAACUACGAAGUACUAGUAUAGGGUAAACAUUUAGUGAGUUUUGUGCAAAAUGAUUUCUUGUUUCCAUGUCUUAAUCAGGUAGUAUAUCACAUAUAUAUGUGUUCACGGAUAUGUUAUCUGCUGUAAUCUAUAAUCAUGUGGGACAAGAUGCACUGAAGUGUUGAUUUUUUCCCGCUAGCCUAGCAGUUCUGUAGUUGCACUAUGCUCUUAACCUUUACCACCCACUGAACAGAAUCUAGAAGCUCCCUGCUGGACAUGAGUCGGCUCGAUCUUGAUCUUUGCUGAUGGUUGUAGUCAAAGUAAAUACUUUUUCUGAAAUCAGUGUGUACCCAACACUUUUUCUGAAAGCAAUGUUUUUUGUUUUCAGACACACCAAUUCAAUUAUGCUGACUUUUGUAUCGCUGUCAUUAUUUGUGCCUUGGCACCUGUGGUAAAUCACCUGCCACAGUUUUGUCACUAGACUUUUAAUUAUGGUAAAUACCCAUUGCCCUUAUGCCUUGUUGUGGUAAAUCACUUCAUAACUAUCAUCAAUAGACAGUUGAAUUAUGUCAAAUUGUACCAUUUUGCAUCGUUAAAUUGUGUCUUCAAACCUCAUUUUGCUCACUUGUGGUAAAUCACCUGCCAUAUUAUCGUUCCUAGACGUUUAUUAUAGUAAAUCACUAUUAUUGUAAAUUGGUUCCUCAAUGCUACAGUUUG